UACGUAGGGGGCAAGCGUUGUCCGGAAUCAUUGGGCGUAAAGCGCGUGUAGGCGGUCCGGUAAGUCCGCUGUGAAAGUCCGGGGCUCAACCCUCGGAUGCCGGUGGAUACUGUCGGGCUUGAGUACGGAAGAGGCGAGUGGAAUUCCUGGUGUAGCGGUGAAAUGCGCAGAUAUCAGGAGGAACACCAAUUGCGAAGGCAGCUCGCUGGGACGUUACUGACGCUGAGACGCGAAAGCGUGGGGAGCAAACAGG
rnacentral:rRNA from 1 species